rnacentral:rRNA from 1 species
GAUGAACGCUGACCGAAUGCUUAACACAUGCAAGUCGAUGGGGAAGUGGUGCUUGCACCAUGGUAACCAUGGCGGACGGGUGAGUAACGCGUAAGGAACUUGCCUGCGGGACUGGGAUAACAGCAGGAAACUGCUGAUAAUACCGGAUAAGGUCAUUAAGCUGCAUAGCUUAGCGAUGAAAGGAGACGCCUGCGGAGAGCCUUGCGUCCUAUUAGCUAGUUGGAGGGGUAACGGCCCACCAAGGCGAAGAUAGGUAGCCGGCCUGAGAGGGUGGACGGCCACAAGGGGACUGAGAUACGGCCCUUACUCCUACGGGAGGCAGCAGUGGGGAAUAUUGGACAAUGGGGGCAACCCUGAUCCAGCAAUUCUGUGUGCACGAAGACGGUUUUCGGAUUGUAAAGUGCUUUGAGCAGGGAAGAAGGAAGUGACGGUACCUGCAGAAGAAGCGACGGCUAAAUACGUG